rnacentral:rRNA from 1 species
UGAAACAAGCACAGGGUGAGGCGGAGCAAGAGGAGGGAGCUGUCGCGGCGUGGAGGAGGGAGUAAGGACGAGCAGGCCUAUCGGCGGCCGGCGGCGUAGGGAAGAGGGGGAAGGAGGAGGAAGGAGGAAGGGCGACCGCGACUGCUCCCCCGGAGAGCGUACCUGCCGGCCCCGAAGUUUGGUCCCCCCCGGUUCUUUCGGCCGGCCGCCGCCAGCCCCGCCCGCGCCUCUCCCGGCUACGCCGCCGGCGCCCGCCCCGCCACCGCCGGUUCCGUUCCCUCCUACUCCAACGUAGGUAGCCGCCGGCUAGGUGGACGCACGGCAGUGACGAGUGUAGGAAGGGGAUUAAAUAAACGAAAGAGCUAGAGGUCGUCGUCGUCGUCGUCGCAGAGGUACCUGCGCCGCCGCACUGCCGAAGGUCCGUGCCUAGGGGAGGAGGCGGAGGUAGGAGGUGGAGAGGCCAGCGGGCCAACGUUGCGUCGUCGAGGAAGGAUGGAAGGUACCUGCUUGAGCUGCCUCUGCGGCAGGUCGGGCUGGUGCCGGUGCUGAUGGGGUGCGUGUUCUUUCCAUCAAUAACACUUAACUACAAGCGUGACUCCGGCCUCCGCUCUCCGCUCCCGUGCUUCCAGCUGCCGUUCACGAGUCCUCUCUUCUCCUUCCGCCGCCACCGACGCCAAAUGUGCUCUCGGUCCACUGGACGGGUCUUUCGAGACAACUACCAACUAAAGACGGUACAAAUACCUCCCUCUCCUGCGGUUCAUGAUCCUCUUCCUAGUCAAAUCGUUCAUCUCCGACAUUAAGAGAAUACUAAUACCUAGACUCCUACUUCUCUUCUAUACCCAAUUGAAAGCCUCACUAACUCAACCAGUUUUUUUAACUUCGUGUAGUUUCCCCGAACAACGAACCGACGAUACCUCUUCCCAUAAGAAACUUCCUCAACAUCUGGAAAACCUAUACGAAGUUAAACCUGUGAAAAAGUCAUACAUAUACUAUACCCGUCCUUUACUUUUUGAAUUACACCGACCUCAAGAUGCGCCUAAUUUAGAUUAAUAGGAAUAUAAAGUUGAGGUUACUGAGCCGGAGUGUACUUACGCCAAAACCCGUACACAAAGCCAAGUAAGCCAAAGCUGCCUUAGUUUCCACCCAAGAGUACCAUCCUAAACUAGGUGAGCCUAUAGUUACAACUAACGUGUACACCUCCCGAAGACCUACGUAAAUAACAGAGUACAGUGUUCCUAAAUGUUGAAAAUGCUCUUACGCCCACAUCUCAUAACUAUUAAGGUCUACCGAGUGAAGGAUGUUAUCUCGUGGGAUGUCAUGAUAGUUAAUAAGUCAGUCUCUUGGUGUGAUACGACUUAUAUAACCACCUAGUCCAUGCAGCUAUUCGUGGGUUACAAGUCAGUCUACUUCUCUCACUUUUAUAUAACCACCUAGUCCAUGUAACUGUUCGUGGGUUACAAGUCAGUCUACUUCUCUCACUUUUGUCGCAAAUGAGACUUAAAAGUCUGUCUCACCGCUACGUCGACCUUCAAACUCCGUGACCUAAGGGGGACUGCCUCCUUGUUAGUUCAAUUUAAAUCUACGAAGUAAGAAACGACUCUGAACCUCCUCGAUAUAGCCCCGGUAGCGGC